CUGUGAGCUCGAUGAGUAGGGCGGGACACGUGGUAUCCUGUCUGAAUAUGGGGGGACCAUCCUCCAAGGCUAAAUACUCCUGACUGACCGAUAGUGAACCAGUACCGUGAGGGAAAGGCGAAAAGAACCCCGGCGAGGGGAGUGAAAAAGAACCUGAAACCGUGUACGUACAAGCAGUGGGAGCCUCUUUAUGGGGUGACUGCGUACCUUUUGUAUAAUGGGUCAGCGACUUAUAUUCUGUAGCAAGGUUAACCGAAUAGGGGAGCCGAAGGGAAACCGAGUCUUAACUGGGCGUUAAGUUGCAGGGUAUAGACCCGAAACCCGGUGAUCUAGCCAUGGGCAGGUUGAAGGUUGGGUAACACUAACUGGAGGACCGAACCGACUAAUGUUGAAAAAUUAGCGGAUGACUUGUGGCUGGGGGUGAAAGGCCAAUCAAACCGGGAGAUAGCUGGUUCUCCCCGAAAGCUAUUUAGGUAGCGCCUCGUGAAUUCAUCUCCGGGGGUAGAGCACUGUUUCGGCAAGGGGGUCAUCCCGACUUACCAACCCGAUGCAAACUGCGAAUACCGGAGAAUGUUAUCACGGGAGACACACGGCGGGUGCUAACGUCCGUCGUGAAGAGGGAAACAACCCAGACCGCCAGCUAAGGUCCCAAAGUCAUGGUUAAGUGGGAAACGAUGUGGGAAGGCCCAGACAGCCAGGAUGUUGGCUUAGAAGCAGCCAUCAUUUAAAGAAAGCGUAAUAGCUCACUGGUCGAGUCGGCCUGCGCGGAAGAUGUAACGGGGCUAAACCAUGCACCGAAGCUGCGGCAGCGACGCUGAUGCGUUGUUGGGUAGGGGAGCGUUCUGUAAGCCUGUGAAGGUGUACUGUGAGGUAUGCUGGAGGUAUCAGAAGUGCGAAUGCUGACAUAAGUAACGAUAAAGCGGGUGAAAAGCCCGCUCGCCGGAAGACCAAGGGUUCCUGUCCAACGUUAAUCGGGGCAGGGUGAGUCGACCCCUAAGGCGAGGCCGAAAGGCGUAGUCGAUGGGAAACAGGUUAAUAUUCCUGUACUUGGUGUUACUGCGAAGGGGGGACGGAGAAGGCUAUGUUGGCCGGGCGACGGUUGUCCCGGUUUAAGCGUGUAGGCUGGUUUUCCAGGCAAAUCCGGAAAACUAAGGCUGAGGCGUGAUGACGAGGCACUACGGUGCUGAAGCAACAAAUGCCCUGCUUCCAGGAAAAGCCUCUAAGCAUCAGGUAACAUCAAAUCGUACCCCAAACCGACACAGGUGGUCAGGUAGAGAAUACCAAGGCGCUUGAGAGAACUCGGGUGAAGGAACUAGGCAAAAUGGUGCCGUAACUUCGGGAGAAGGCACGCUGAUAUGUAGGUGAAGCGACUUGCUCGUGGAGCUGAAAUCAGUCGAAGAUACCAGCUGGCUGCAACUGUUUAUUAAAAACACAGCACUGUGCAAACACGAAAGUGGACGUAUACGGUGUGACGCCUGCCCGGUGCCGGAAGGUUAAUUGAUGGGGUCAGCGCAAGCGAAGCUCUUGAUCGAAGCCCCGGUAAACGGCGGCCGUAACUAUAACGGUCCUAAGGUAGCGAAAUUCCUUGUCGGGUAAGUUCCGACCUGCACGAAUGGCGUAAUGAUGGCCAGGCUGUCUCCACCCGAGACUCAGUGAAAUUGAACUCGCUGUGAAGAUGCAGUGUACCCGCGGCAAGACGGAAAGACCCCGUGAACCUUUACUAUAGCUUGACACUGAACAUUGAGCCUUGAUGUGUAGGAUAGGUGGGAGGCUUUGAAGUGUGGACGCCAGUCUGCAUGGAGCCGACCUUGAAAUACCACCCUUUAAUGUUUGAUGUUCUAACGUGGACCCGUGAUCCGGGUUGCGGACAGUGUCUGGUGGGUAGUUUGACUGGGGCGGUCUCCUCCUAAAGAGUAACGGAGGAGCACGAAGGUUGGCUAAUCCUGGUCGGACAUCAGGAGGUUAGUGCAAUGGCAUAAGCCAGCUUGACUGCGAGCGUGACGGCGCGAGCAGGUGCGAAAGCAGGUCAUAGUGAUCCGGUGGUUCUGAAUGGAAGGGCCAUCGCUCAACGGAUAAAAGGUACUCCGGGGAUAACAGGCUGAUACCGCCCAAGAGUUCAUAUCGACGGCGGUGUUUGGCACCUCGAUGUCGGCUCAUCACAUCCUGGGGCUGAAGUAGGUCCCAAGGGUAUGGCUGUUCGCCAUUUAAAGUGGUACGCGAGCUGGGUUUAGAACGUCGUGAGACAGUUCGGUCCCUAUCUGCCGUGGGCGCUGGAGAACUGAGGGGGGCUGCUCCUAGUACGAGAGGACCGGAGUGGACGCAUCACUGGUGUUCGGGUUGUCAUGCCAAUGGCACUGCCCGGUAGCUAAAUGCGGAAGAGAUAAGUGCUGAAAGCAUCUAAGCACGAAACUUGCCCCGAGAUGAGUUCUCCCUGACUCCUUGAGAGUCCUGAAGGAACGUUGAAGACGACGACGUUGAUAGGCCGGGUGUGUAAGCGCAGCGAUGCGUUGAGCUAACCGGUACUAAUGAACCGUGAGGCUUAACCUUACAACGCCGAAG
rnacentral:rRNA from 1 species